rnacentral:rRNA from 1 species
UACGAAGGGGGCUAGCGUUGUUCAGAAUUACUGGGCGUAAAGCGCGCGCAGGCGGUCUUCCAAGUCAGUGGUGAAAGCCCGGAGCUCAACUCCGGAACUGCCAUUGAAACUGUUGGACUUGAGUACGAGAGAGGUGAGUGGAAUUCCCAGUGUAGAGGUGAAAUUCGUAGAUAUUGGGAAGAACACCGGUGGCGAAGGCGGCUCACUGGCUCGUAACUGACGCUCAGGCGCGACAGCGUGGGGAUCAAACAGG